GGAUCCUUGUGUCUGGGUCAUGUGGCCAUGU
rnacentral:piRNA from 1 species